rnacentral:rRNA from 1 species
GGCCCGGAGCUUGCUCCGGUGUCCUUAGUGGCAGACGGGAUAGUAACGCGUGGGAAUUUGCCCAAUAGUACGGAAUAACUGCGGGAAACUGCAGCUAAUACCGUAUACGCCCUCCGGGGGAAAGAUUUAUCGCUAUUGGAUAAGCCCGCGUCGAAUUAGCUUGUUGGUGAGGUAAUGGCUCACCAAGGCAACGAUUCGUAGCUGGUCUGAGAGGACGAUCAGCAUCACUGGGACUGAGACACGGCCCAGACUCCUACGGGAGGCAGCAGUGGGGAAUAUUGGACAAUGGGCGCAAGCCUGAUCCAGCCAUGCCGCGUGUGUGAAGAAGGCCUUAGGGUUGUAAAACACUUUCAGCAGGGAAGAUGAUGACGGUACCUGCAGAAGAAGCCCCGGCCAACUCCGUGCCAGCAGCCGCGGUAAUACGGAGGGGGCAAGCGUUGUUCGGAAUUACUGGGCGUAAAGCGCGCGUAGGCGGUUAGUCUAGUCAGGCGUGAAAUCCCGGGGCUC